rnacentral:tRNA from 1 species
GGGUGGGUAGCAAAGUAGUCAAAUGCAACAGACUGUAAAUCUGUCGGCCCUUGGCCUUCGUAGGUGCAAAUCCUACCCCACCCA